rnacentral:rRNA from 1 species
UACGAAGGGGGCUAGCGUUGUUCGGAAUUACUGGGCGUAAAGCGCACGUAGGCGGACUCUUAAGUCGGUGGUGAAAUCCUGGAGCUCAACUCCAGAACUGCCUCCGAUACUGAGAGUCUUCGAGUCCGGGAGAGGUGAGUGGAACUGCGAGUGUAGAGGUGAAAUUCGUAGAUAUUCGCAAGAACACCAGUGGCGAAGGCGGCUCACUGGCCCGGUACUGACGCUGAGGUGCGAAAGCGUGGGGAGCGAACAGG